ACUAACUGUAUAAAAUCUGCACUUUUUCUGAUAUUUCCUUGAGUAUUCAUCCAGCUGCAACUCAAUAUGGUUGAAUCUUUCUUAUACUCUCUCAGCGUGGGGCUUGCAGACUAACAAUAAAAAUUGUACUUACUCUACCAAUGCUGUUCUAAUAUUCCUGAUCCGUAAAUUAAGUAAGAAAUUUCAGAAUAUACUGUUAAAUUUUCGUGCAGGAUUUAAAGCAAGGUUGGAACAAUAAACAACGAUGCAUUUUUCUUUACACCUGAGUGUGUUUAUAAUGUAAGCCAGUUGCCAAAUAAACUCAGCAUAUGACUUUAAAAAAUGUCAAGUGGUGGAUCUUCACGAGAACUUUUAACUUUUCCAUUGGCACCAUUAGUGCGGACUAAGUUAACCAGUGCAGGCUUCCUUACAGAAGCAGAUCUCAGUGACAUCAGACCUUCGCAACUAAGUAAAGAAGCAGGAAUCAGCUUAGAAGAUGCGCUGGAGGUCUUGAAAAUAGUUUCUAGAGAAGACCGUACAUCUGGAUUUAGCAGCAUCAGUGCCUUGCAGUUACUAGAACAGGAACAAAGUCUACCAAACAUCGUGACAUUCUGUUCAGAACUUGAUGAAGCUCUGGGUGGAGGAAUAGCGCUGAGGAAAGUUACAGAAAUCUGUGGAGCACCAGGAAUAGGGAAGACACAGAUGUGCAUACAGCUAGUGGUGGAUGCCAGCAUUCCUGAAGAGCUUGGAGGUGCAGGAGGGGAAGCAGUGUAUGUAGACACUGAAGGGAGUUUUAUUAUCGAACGUGUUGUUGACAUUGCACAGGCAACAGUUGAACACUGUCAUCUUAUGGCUACAAGAGUUGCAGGGAUGGAAGAGAUAAAGGACUAUAAUCUGGAUAAAAUUUUAUCAGGAAUCCAUUAUUUUCGUUGCCAUGACCAUAUUGAGCUCCUUGCAACAUUGCAUGUAUUGAGUAAUUUUCUGCAACAACAUCCAAAGGUGAAAGUGGUGGUGGUGGACAGCAUUGCCUUCCCCUUUCGCCACAAUUUUGAAGAUCUCUCUCAGCGUACACGCCUUCUUGCUGGCAUGGCACAAAGCUGUAUCAAGCUGGCCACUGACUUCAGUUUGGCGGUAGUACUGACCAAUCAAAUGACAACAAGGUUUUCCAUGGAGUCAGGGAUCACUGAGAUCAUCCCUGCUCUAGGUGAGAGCUGGGGCCAUGCUUGCACGGUGCGGCUUGUGCUGUUCUGGGAAUCAGGUCAGCGUCAUGCUGUGCUGUACAAGUCUCCAUCCAAAGAAGAGACCACUGUGUCUUUUCAGAUCACGGUCAGUAUCACAGAGUGUUGGUAUCUGUGCUGAAACCUGUCCAGCAGUUGGUGGAUGCAAACAAGAUGGAAAUUGGUCAUUCUGAAGACUGGGGGAAUCCGUGACGUAGUGCACAAGCCCAAUAAGCCAGACAAUUCCACUUCAGAGGAACCACGCCCAGAAGACUGCACACCCAGAAAAAAGCCCAAAACAGCGUAAUCUCAGCAGAUUCAGUUAGUUUGAAAGACUUGAUUGCUUGAGAUGACCAGAUUCAGUUAUGUGUGCUGAAAGUGAUGUUACAGUUGGAGACAAGUGGUGCCUGGAGCUGGAGAUUAUCUGUCUGCUCAGAUUUAAUGCACUGAGGGCUUGAACUCAAUGAAUCAGCUCGGUAUAGCUAAAGUGUCAAUGGUUAUGAAUUUACGGGGUUUGCUCACUGCAGUUAUAUCGGGGAUCACUCAGGAAGACAAGGUUUCCUUCGGAAAUGUGAUAUAGGCACCAAGAAUAUAAGUACAAUGAGAAUAAUUGAAUAUGUCAGUAAAAAUUGUCUUAUUAAGUGUUAA